rnacentral:rRNA from 1 species
UACCUGCAGCCCAAGUGGUAAUCGUUAUUAUUGAGCCUAAAGCGUCCGUAGCCGGUUUGGUAAACCCUCGAGUAAAUCGGGCAGCUUAACUGUCCGAAUUCCGGGGGGACUGCCAGACUUGGGACCGGGAGAGGUCAGAGGUACUUCAGGGGUAGGGGCUAAAUCCUGUAAUCCUUGAAGGACCACCAGUGGCGAAGGCGUCUGACUAGAACGGAUCCGACGGUAAGGGACGAAACCCUGGGGCGCAAACCGGAUUAGAUACCCGGGUAGUCCAGGGCGUAAACGCUGCAGGCUUGGUGUUGGGGAUCCCACGAGGAUGCUCAGUGCCGGAGUGAAGAUGUUAAGCCUGCCGCUUGGGGAGUACGUCCGCAAGGAUGAAACUUAAAGGAAUUGGCGGGAGAGCACAGAACAGGAGGAGCGUGCGGUUCAAUUGGAUUCAACGCCGGAAAACUCACCGGGAGCGACCAUUACAUGAAGGUCAGGCCGAUGACUUUACCUGAUUUUGGAGAGGUGGUGCAUGGCCGUCGUCAGUUCGUACCGUAAGGCGUUCUGUUAAGUCAGAUAACGAACGAGACCCUCACCCUUAAUUGCCAACCCAUUCUCCGGAGUGGGCGCACAUUAAGGGGACCGCUGGCGCUAAGUCAGAGGAAGGAGAGGUCAACGGUAGG